rnacentral:lncRNA from 1 species
GAUUCAACAGACAUAAAAUUCUUGUCAGUCUGCUAUAAAAAUUUGUAAAUGCUUAAUCUCCACUUAUAAGUUUGUCUUGUCAUGAUAUGGUCUCUAUCUUCAUCUCACUCUUUUUCUUCCCACAGUCACCCAAAAUGACGGUAUGUUCCUAAAAUACUUUCCCGUGGAAGGUGUAAGUUCCCCUCUUCCUGGCCAAAUGCUCAAAUGUUUUACUCCCAUCACCUCCUUUGUUUUGCAUAAGUAUCACUUUCUAUAAAAAUUAUCAUUUAAUGAUGGAAAUGAACUUAACUGCCUUUACCAUCAGCAGUCUCUUUUUAUCCAUGAUAAAAUUUGCAGAGUAGUUUAACAGGCAUAACUCAAGCUGUUUAUUUCUUCUUAGCUUUAUAUACUUACGGAUAGGAAGUCAUGCAGUACAAGUGUGCAAAAGUUCUGCAAAGUAUAUGUUACUUUUGCUGAUCACAUACAGGUGCUGGAUAGUUUACUAGUCCAGUAUGGAGUGGUGGAGAGCUGUGAGCAAGUGAACACUGACUCGGAAACUGCAGUUGUAAAUGUAACCUAUUCCAGUAAGGACCAAGCUAGACAAGCACUAGACAAACUGAAUGGAUUUCAGUUAGAGAAUUUCACCUUGAAAGUAGCCUAUAUCCCUGAUGAAAUGGCCGCCCA